GUGCCUAAAUUUAAUGAGUAAGGAAAACCAAUCGGCCUUGCUAAUCGCUUGGCAGUUUGGCUUCAAGGCAGAGGGAUGAGGGCAGCUCAGUGCGGCCCGAGUCCCUUGAAGCUCAAUUUUUGUAGGGGCACAGGUCGUCCCCGACGAGCGGCCUUGGAGAAUCAGCACACUACUUUCGUGCUGGGAUGCCAAGGCAGCUUUGGGUGUAGCGAUCUGCCCA